GACGAACGCUGGCGGCGUGCUUAACACAUGCAAGUCGAACGGAAAGGCCCUUCUUUUGUGGGGUGCUCGAGUGGCGAACGGGUGAGUAACACGUGAGUAACCUGCCCUUGACUUUGGGAUAACUUCGGGAAACUGGGGCUAAUACCGGAUAGGAGCUCCUGCUGCAUGGUGGGGGUUGGAGAGUUUCGGCGGUUGGGGAUGGACUCGCGGCUUAUCAGCUUGUUGGUGGGGUAGUGGCUUACCAAGGCGUUGACGGGUAGCCGGCCUGAGAGGGUGACCGGCCACAUUGGGACUGAGAUACGGCCCAGACUCCUACGGGAGGCAGCAGUGGGGAAUAUUGCACAAUGGGCGGAAGCCUGAUGCAGCAACGCCGCGUGCGGGAUGACGGCCUUCGGGUUGUAAACCGCUUUCGCCUGUGACGAAGCGUGAGUGACGGUAAUGGGUAAAGAAGCACCGGCUAACUACGUG
rnacentral:rRNA from 1 species